rnacentral:rRNA from 1 species
UAAUAUACCGGUUCUCGUUAGAUCACCGAAGUCAAGCAUCAUUGGGCGCGGGCUUGGGUGGGUGACCACCUGGGAACACCGCGUGCCGUU